rnacentral:rRNA from 1 species
UACAGAGGUCUCAAGCGUUGUUCGGAUUCAUUGGGCGUAAAGGGUGCGUAGGCGGCGCGGUAAGUCGGGUGUGAAUCUCGGAGCUUAACUCCGAAACUGCAUUCGAUACUGCCGUGCUUGAGGACUGGAGAGGAGACUGGAAUUUACGGUGUAGCGGUGAAAUGCGUAGAUAUCGUAAGGAAGACCAGUGGCGAAGGCGGGUCUCUGGACAGUUCCUGACGCUGAGGCACGAAGGUCAGGGGGAGCAAAACGGG